AAAAAGUGUUAUUAUUUAUGGUAGGCAGAAUACUAAAAUUAGCCCCAUGAUCUCCACUGCUGGUGUUAGUCCUAUGAUUAUAUUAUGUUGCAUGGCAAACAGGAAUUUGGCAGUUGCAAUUAAGGUUAUCAAUCUGUUGACUGUAUUGUAGAGACCUUUUCCCAGUGGGCCUAACCUAACCACAUAAGCCCCAUAAAGCUGAGAAUUUUCUUCAAUUGGUAGCUGAAAAGAAAAUCAAAGAGAUUCAAAGUGUGAGAGGGAUUAUUUCAGGGAGACAUUGCUAGAAUGGAUUGGGCCACUCAGGCAAGAACUUGAGAAUGGCCUCUAAGAACUGAGAAAUGUACCCAGCCAACAGCCAGCAAGAAAACAGGGACCUCAGUCCUACAACUGCAAGGCACUCAGUUCUACCAAAAACCUGAAUGAGUUUGGAAGUGGAUUCUUCUACAGAGCCUCCAGCCAGCUCUCCUCUACUAGAGUUUGGAAGACUUUCAACCAAUCAGUCGUUCAGAAAAUAAUACUGGAUACCUACUAAGUUCAAGGCAUUGUUUGUGCUAUAUGAACACAGCAAUGAACAACAAUAAUAACAAUAAAUAAACAAAAACUCAUCUAUACUCAUGGAGUUUACAGUCAAGGGGCCAAGAGAGAAAAUUAAGAAAUAAAAUGAAUGAAGAGAAGCUGCGUGAAAGGAGAGCUGCAAAAGGACAACUUGACCCAGAGAGAGUCGCCCUCACCAGGGCCCUCCUCCCGGCUUCACUGGGUCUCUGGAUGGGCCAGUUGCACAAAUACAAGAAGAUCAGGCCAGCAUCCUGGAAGUGGGGAGGGGACUUGGUAUCACCCUCCUUGGAUAGGUGUUUGCCAAGUUCUAGUUAACCCAGUUACAGUAAAGCCAUUGUGGACUCUUUAGUGGAGCAAGCCUCAAAUCUACAUGGCAUUCACGAUUUUUCGAUGGCCCUGGCCACAGCCAGUAACUGCAAUUUAGUGGCUUACACAUUACCAUGAAAGGGGGCGGGCAAAGGCUCAAGAGCAAUGGAUUUUUACGGCAAUAGGAAAUAGAACACAUUUUGUGCAGUCGCCAACUCCUUUGCAUUUCUGAGGAUGAAAUGCCCCCUAGAUCAAAGUGACAAAGUGGUUAGGAUAUUCACGGGACAGAAGACAAAAGGAGUUCGUUCACUGCCAAAAAGAAAAAAAAAAAGCCUUCUGUUAAGUAUUUAGAAGUUUAAUAACAGUACUUACAUGAGAAGCAGAAUGCAAGAGGGCAACUUGAAAGUGUGCACAGUUAAACAGGAGCUAGCCAUUUUCCUUCACACAGGCAGGAAGCUUACCUUCAUUCACUCGUUCAUUCCCCAAUAUACAUUGAGCACCUACUAUAUGGGACACUGCAUUUGGUAUUAUAAGAAGUACAAAUGUGCAUAACAAAGCCUCUACUCUUAAGAAGAUGGUGGACAUUCAGGGAAGCUAAUGAAGUAUAUGCACAAAUCAAGGUGUCAGACCAACUAUAUAGCACUUGCAAAGGAGAUAGGCAAAAACUGGUUUUGCAAUCUUAGCCCAAGACAAGCCUCAAGAGGGUAAAAGAGGUUACAGAGGCAAGGAAAGAGACAAUUUCUUUGGAGGGAUUUGCUAGAAUUCUGUGCAUUUCACUCUUCACUUGCCCCUACUUUGCAAUGGAAAAGUUGAGGGCUACUCCCUCCUUACUUCAUGCCAAGUGAAAGAUGCUUUAAGAGAACCACUUGGGGAGCUUGGUCUGUUUCUCUUUAGAGUCUGUGGUGGAUAUGGGUCAAAUGCAAGGCCUACAAUUGAAAAAAUCUCCAGGCAAGAAGCUGGAUGAAGCUGCUCAUAGUGUCCAAUUUGAAAGCUGUAUAGACAAUAAACUGUGCUUCCACCGAUGAAAAAAAAAAAAAAACAAAAAUGAGGACACAUACAUGUUUCCUGAAUUCUACAUGUGGUCCAUAGCACAUGGGAAACACCUGUCCUAGAGUUGUUGAACAGAUAAUUUACCCAAGAGGGCUACCUACAGAGAAAAUGGAUUUAAAAGGAAGGGAAAAGGAUUAAAGGAAUGGAAAAUAUAGAAGCCUUCUGCCUGUAUUUUAAGGAGAUCAUCACACUUAAUUCAGUAGUUAUAGUAUAUUAAGGUAGAAAGUCUAAAUCUCAUUCAGAUAUGUAAAUAUACAGUGUUAUGAGGGAAAGGUUUUUUUAAGAUCACCUAAGACUUGUUAAACACUACUAAUGCAUGGCUAAAUAAAGUCUGGGCCUAAAGAGGUCCUGUCUAUAAAUCCAAGAAGUCAAAUGAAAAGUGCAAUUUUAAGUUGUCAUCCAGAUAUUUAGAUUUCAAGACUCCAGGAUUUUGGAAACUUGCAGAUUUUGGAAGUUUGAGAAACUAUAAUUUUUAUCUACAUGUCUAAAAUAUUAAGAGACGACAUGAAGAAAAAAAUGCAGACUCAGACUUAAUCUAAACAGAUUUGGUUCUUUACCAUGAAAAACCCUUAGAGUGACACCCUUAAAGAGUGAUUCCUACAGGGAAUUAUAGAAGUCUUUUGUCCUCGGCCUGGCGUGGUGGCUCACACCUGUAAUCCCAGCACUUUGGGAGGCAAAGGAGGGUGAAUCAUUUGAGGUCAGGAGUUUGAGACCAGCCUGGCUAACAUGGCAAAACCCUGUCUGUACUAAAAAUACAAAAAUCAGCUAGGUGUGGCAGUGGCG
rnacentral:lncRNA from 1 species